CCUACGGGGGGCAGCAGUGGGGAAUAUUGGGCAAUGGGCGAAAGCCUGACCCAGCAACGCCGCGUGAAGGAAGAAGGCUUUCGGGUUGUAAACUUCUUUUGACAGGGAAGAGCAGAAGACGGUACCUGUCGAAUAAGUCACGGCUAACUACGUGCAAGCAGCCGCGGUAAGACGUAGGUGGCAAGCGUUGUCCGGAUUUACGUGGGGUAAAGGGCGUGUAGCCGGGCUGACAAGUCAGAUGUGAAAUCCGGGGGCUCAACCCCCGAACUGCAUUUGAAACUGUUGGUCUUGAGUAUCGGAGAGGCAGGCGGAAUUCCUAGUGUAGCGGUGAAAUGCGUAGAUAUUAGGAGGAACACCAGUGGCGAAGGCGGCCUGCUGGACGACAACUGACGGUGAGGCGCGAAAGCGUGGGGAGCAAACAGGAUUAGAUACCCGAGUAGUC
rnacentral:rRNA from 1 species